UUGUUCGCUUGCGCUUCAGCUCAUUAGCUUUGUCUUUAGCUACUGUCAUUUUCUAGUGUCAGAUCAGCACUGCACAUGUGCAACUCUAAACACAGAUAAGAAGGAAGCGAGAUUGGUCAUUCCUUAGCUACUUCCUUCAUCCUGAUUGGGCAAGGAGAUGUAUUGUGACUGCACGGAUCUGCACCGUCUCUCACUCUUCUGACUUUCCUGGAAGAAACGCUGGAAGAAGAAGCUGACAGUGAGAACAGGUGGAGGAGCAGAGAAGUCGAGCUGGGAGCCUUCAGGGAUUUCUGGGUACAGACCUG